UACGGAGGGUCCAAGCGUUAUCCGGAAUCAUUGGGGUUAAAGGGUCCGUAGGCGGUUUUGUAAGUCAGUGGUGAAAGCCCAUCGCUCAACGGUGGAACGGCCAUUGAUACUGCAAGACUUGAAUUAUUAGGAAGUAACUAGAAUAUGUAGUGUAGCGGUGAAAUGCUUAGAGAUUACAUGGAAUACCAAUUGCGAAGGCAGGUUACUACUAAUGGAUUGACGCUGAUGGACGAAAGCGUGGGUAGCGAACAGG
rnacentral:rRNA from 1 species